rnacentral:rRNA from 1 species
AGAGUUUGAUCCUGGCUCAGGAUGAACGCUGGCGGCGUGCUUAACACAUGCAAGUCGAACGAGAACGUUCCCUUCGGGGAACUAGUAAAGUGGCGAACGGGUGAGUAACACGUGGGCAACCUACCCCUUACAUUGGGAUAACGCAGAGAAAUUUGCGCUAAUACCGGAUACUUCGUUUUGAGGGCAUCCUCGUUACGAGAAAGCUUUUGCGGUAAGGGAUGGGCCCGCGGUCCAUUAGCUUGUUGGUGGGGUAACGGCCUACCAAGGCGACGAUGGAUAGCCGGCUUGAGAGAGUGAUCGGCCACAUUGGGACUGAGACACGGCCCAGACUCCUACGGGAGGCAGCAGUGGGGAAUUUUGCGCAAUGGGGGCAACCCUGACGCAGCAACGCCGCGUGCGGGAUGACGGCCUUCGGGUUGUAAACCGCUUUCAGAAGGGAAGAAUUUAGACGGUACCUUCAGAAGAAGCUCCGGCUAACUACGUGCCAGCAGCCGCGGUAAUACGUAGGGGGCAAGCGUUAUCCGGAUUUAUUGGGCGUAAAGCGCGCGUAGGCGGCUUGUUAAGUCAGGUGUUAAAGGCAAGGGCUCAACCCCUGUUCGCACCUGAAACUGGCAGGCUUGAGUUUGGUAGAGGAAAACGGAAUUCCCAGUGUAGCGGUGAAAUGCGCAGAUAUUGGGAAGAACACCGGUGGCGAAGGCGGUUUUCUGGGCCACAACUGACGCUGAGGUGCGAAAGCUAGGGGAGCAAACAGGAUUAGAUACCCUGGUAGUCC